AGCAGAGUGUUCCAUACAGAUAAGUGUAUGCUAACUACUUUUGUGAUGAUUUGAGAUUAUGCAACAAUUUAUAUUCUGAUGUAUUUCUUUACCCAUCUGUUCUAAAUGUCAAGAAAUCAAUAAAGUAUAAUGGGCAACAGAAUGUACAAAAUAUGAGUAUAGUGUGUAUAGCAUAAACGUUUAGCUGUAAUCAAGCAGACGCAUUCACCUAUCUCAGCUCAUAGUAAAAUCCAAAUGUUCAGGUUCCGAGGCACACAAGUUCCAUUCUUGAUUUAUCUUGCCCCUAAGAUAGAUUCCCACAUAAUCAAGUUUCCUUUAGUUUUAUCAGUACAGGAUGCAUUUUUGGUUUGCAGCAUCCAAAAUGAGGUGCUAAGAUCUCUUUUUGUCAGAGGAGAUAAGACCAUUUGCAAAUUUUUCAUCUCAGAAAUCAAGAAAGUACAAUGGGCAACAAAGUGUACCAAAUUCAAGUAUAGUUCAUGUACCAUUAGGGUUCAGUUGUAACAAAGUAGACACAUCCAACACUUCCAGUUCAUACUAUAUCAGUGCUGGAUGUAGUGAUGGCGUGCAGCGUCCAAAAUGAGGUGUUAAGAUCUCCAUCAAUUUGUGUCACAGUUCUCUAGAAAGCCUGGUGGUAGGGAGUUCUAGCAAUUAGAGCUGCAUAAUUAUCUACAACUUAAUCUGAAGUUUCAAAUUGUAUCUAGUCAAUUGCCUCUUAUAUAAAAAUGUUUCCAUAAGUUGAUUGUCACAACUUUUCAUAGAUACAAGUCUGGCAUUUUGCAAAUUUAAAAAUUCCUUUUCCUAGGGCUAGGUAGUGUUAGCCUAUUUUGAUAAUGCACUUACAAACCUAGGCUAGUACUUAAAAGAGGAACCACACACAGGGAUAUCAAUCUUCAAAGAGGCAGCUCACCUGAGUUUCACAAAGGAUUGAGAUGACACUAAUCUUUGUAAGAUUUCAGGUUUUAGAGCCAAUAAACAUUCUACAUAAUACUAAUGAGUAAUCAUAAAUCUAGAUGCAUGUUUAAUAAACAAGCCAAAAGAUAUCAAGAAACACAUAAAUACCAGAUCGAAUGUGAAUUUUUCACAGUAAAUAAAUGCAUACAUGAAGGUCACCAUUGCUCAUGGUGAGCAAAUGGACAGUUGCAAACACUAGUGCCACCUCCUCCUGCCUGUUGCUGUUGGAUGCAAUUACUCCACAAUUGUCUCUCAAAGAGGUAUAGGGAACAUGCUUGUAUAGCUACAUGACCCUUCUAUUUAAAAUAUUACCUCUAGUUAAGCAAUUUGUUCCAAACUUAACCACAAGAUACAUUGUUUAUGUGCACAUGUUAUCCAAAAAUACAUAUCAUUUAAUUUCCAAUAUGUUAAUUCUAUACUAGUUUGUGACUGAGACUCAUGCUAUUAUUACAAUCCAUACAAGCUCUUCUAGCAUAUCAGCAUCCCCCAACCUCAGUUAUGUGUUCCGUCCUCAGAACACUUGGAUAUCAAAUGUUGCACAACUUCAGGUGAAGACUCGGUGCCAAGAUAACAUGAUGCAACAUCCUCGUGGCUCAACUUAUCCUCAUCAACAAUAUCAUUCUUCCCAACUUUUUCAACCUAUAUUACUUCCACACAGGUGCCUCUGGGUGCUUCAACUUCUAUCCUCAUGCAAGCUUGCUGCUCUCAAAUAUUGGAUGCUUGUGAAAGUGUCAGCAUAUGACAUGUCACAUGUUCCUUUGCACUAUGUAUACAUACUCAACUAUGCACUAUGUCCCGGACAUGCAUUUCACUUACCAACAAGUACAAGCCUGCUGAAACAACAUGCAAAAUUCAACACUUCUUCCCCUUAAUAUGCACCUGCAAACUGAAUCAUAUGGUGCAGCCCUGUAUCUGCUCAAGAUAUCACCUUAACUAAACAAAUCUACUAAUCUCAACCAAGGGGCAAUACCAAUCUGUAUCUAGGCAUCUCAACAUUUGGAUAUAUCAUAAAUUCUUAGUUCUAACUUCUACCAUACCUGCUUCACAAACCCCAAUCAUCCAUCAAAUUAGUGGAACCGAAAACCUUGUAAACCAUGCUGUGUCUGUCUGUAUAGUACUUGAUCCAUCCCACUGGAAAACAUGAGUAACCAUUUGUAUUUGGAAAAUGUGUAGGAACAAGAGUUGUAAAUGUGGUUCGUUCAAUCAAUAUUUAUGCAAUCCCACCAUCCGCACCCCUUGCACUAUGGAACAAUCACCAUCUUCCACUGCUAUGAAUCUCUGUCUAAUCUCACUAGCUUUUGGAGCACCAUCAAGUACACAAAAUAACAUUUCCUUAGAAGUGUGCAACUCACCAACCAAGUUCCUGUAUCUACUGUCAUUCUGUGCCUUGUGGGUUGUGCAUGUACCCUAUAGUACAUAUUCUUUGGAAACAUCUCUGCAACCUGUCAAUACUCAACCAACCCAUGUCUAAUAGGACAAACCUUUGUGAAAUGCAUCCAAUUUGUUUGUGGAAAUCAAUAAAAUCCUGUCUCUAUCAUAUGGCAAAUAACACAAUCAAUGUGUAUACCGCAUCUGCGCAUGAUAAAGAAGAACCUGGAAGAAUGGCGUCACUAUUGACAAGAUGGGACCUUCUCCAAUAUCAAGCCUAUGGUGGCAGAGGUGAUCAGUCUACUACCUCCAUAUGACAUAUAAAAGAUCAAACAACAAUUAUCCAUUCAUUUAUGUUUAUCUUUUCUGUUAGGUAAUCAAAUUAUCUCUCCAAAAACUGGAGCCAGCAACAUAAAUAAAUGAUUUCCCAAAAAACCUGUCUGUAAUCAAAUAAACUAUUUGAGUCUGCAACAUUAAUAGACAAUUGCUUUUAUUUGCAUGCUAAAAUCUGCAGUGGCUAUAUGUAUAUAAUUAUUGGUACAAUGAAUACCAAUUAAAUUAAUUAAAAUACUUUUAUUGUUAGCACUCCACAAUUAUAUUACUAAUUUUUUUCUUUCCCAAACUCAAUAUUGCUUAUUUUUUCACUUUGUGAGAUCGAUUACUAAAAGCUUCUCAGAUGCAGGCUUCAUCUUAUUAAAACCCUAAAAGUGCAAUAUCACUUAAUAAGAAACUUAAUAUUAGGUCUGGUUACCAUAUUCUGUACGAAUAUUCUUGUGCGGUUGUGCCAACACUGACUAUUCUGUCUGUCUGAUACACCAGACAUUGCUGCUCAGAUAUGCAAUGCACCUUCUUCCCUUUACUGCAGCCAAUGAUCUUUGGUAGUGAACAGAUCCCUGUCCAUAUGUUUUCCAUAAAACAAUGGAUGGAAUAAUAAGGUAGAGUGGCUGAGUCUCUGUUGCCGUGAACUUUACAUCCAUAGAAUUUUGCAGUCAGGUAUGCAUCCACCAAGAAAUUUUGCAAACUAAAUUUCUGUAUGCUGUUUAUCCGAAAAUUCAGGUACUGCCAUUAGGAAUUCCAAAACAGGGCAUGCUGGCAUGGCAUGUAUGUUACAACCAGAAACUAUCUUACAACUUUAUUCCUGUAAGCUAUAUUACAACCCUUAAACCAGAUGCAUAAGCACUACUACAUGUUAUGAUAAAUCAUCAGAGAACAGCAAUAGGUUGUGUUGCUGCUGGUGCCUUUUGUUUUGUCCCCGUCAGCUACCAAUCUAUAUGUGAGUGCACCUGUUGGCGCAUAAUAUAAUUGCUCUUUUGUUGUUCCAACCAUCUCCUCCUCAAGUAAUAAUAUUGGUGCAUUAGAUAAGUGUACACACCAUUGUUCCAUGUAGACUUGUGAGCCAGCAAUUUUAUUCACAUGCUCAUGCUUUUUAUGUUCACUGGGAAGCACUCUUUAUUGCUCUGAUGUUUUGCUUUCCACAGUCUGAUCUGCCAUUUGUACCCAAAAGAACAUAAAUUGUGUCACAGGUAAGUUUCACACAAAGUACCUUUGCGUUCAUUUUGUAUGAUAAAAUUUUAAUAUAAAUUAAUACCAAUGGCCAUAUCUUGGCCUAUCCUAUCCAUCUUCUUUACAUGCAAGCUAUAUGCUUUAUUGACGGACUGUGCACUUAUUAGUAUCUUAACCCAGGAGAGUUUCUGCUUUGGCACAACUAUGGCGUGUGGGUAUAGACUGUGAGCUAAAAUACCUCCAAAGACAAUAUAGUGAUGCACUGAAUUUGCAUGUGCUUCUUCCCGAUGUAAUUACCAUCUAUAAAACAAUCCUUUGGAGAGCUUCGUAAUUCUAUCUUUGCACGUUUACUAAUCACCCUUCGCACUUCAUAUAGCACUACAACCAUACUCAUCAAACCACACAGCAUAUUUUUAAUUAUUUUCCCUGUAAAUCUGUGCUAAGACAAAGAGAAAUUGUAUUAUAGCUUCUUUAUAUCUUGUCUGUACUUAUGUCUUGUGUUUUGUUUGCACCUUCAUGCUAUUAGUGAUUUGUCAUAAAUAUGCUGUUCACCAAGUGCCAUUCAUCAGAUCUAGCAUUCAUAAAUAUAGAGGAUGAGAUAUGAUACGAGCACAAUGAUCAGCAAAAUGUAAGGCAUUGUAUUGAUAAUCUAACAUGGCACCUCCCAUCUGUCAAGUGCUCCUUUACAUAAUCAGCAUAUGCAAGAAACUUAGAAAAGUAAUAGGGUGUCUAGCAUGAAUUAUUGAAACUAUGUCAACAUUAUUCCUUCAAUACAACAUGCCUCACAUCUUUGCCAAAUUUUGUCCAUGAAAACAUAUCCAUGACAACUUAUUGAGCACCAUAAAAACGAUUUUCCACAAAAGAUUUGCAUAAUCUCAUAUGCAGCGCACAUACUGAAUAAUGCCAUAUUUGUACAGAAACAAUAAAUCACAAAUACAAGAACAGAAUACUUGUGUCAAAUGGGUUAAAAUAUAUCACAUAUGCAAUAAUUUCUUUCACAAACCUUCAAAUCCUGAAUAGUGUAAGUUAAUAGUAGCUUUUCUUCUACAACCGUGUGUAAGAUAAAGAGAAUCUCAAACAAACACUCAAUAUGGGACUCUCAAAGCUACAAACUCACCAUUAAAAACAAACAACAGAUUUUCUACAUCUGAACCCUACAUAGCCAUCUGCAGCAUUAGAUGAGUUUCCCGUAAUGGAACCCAAAAUGUUAGCCUAUUUUGAUUGCGUAUUUCUACAAACCAAUCAUACAUUAACCCCAAAUUGGCAGCUUACCCAAGCUGCUCAGAGGAUUCAAAGGACAUGAUAUGUGUAAGUUUUCAGUCUAUGGAGGGAAUAAACCUUAUAUUUAAUAUCAUUCAAGAGUAAUCCACACGUAUAUGUCAAAAACAACACACAGAAGAUAAACCAAAAAUAUGUACAUUCAUGAAGGCCACCUUGCGCAUGAUGGGCAAGGGUGCGGCUAAAAAUGCCAGUGCUACUUUGUUCUGUUUGUUCUACUACCACCUUGCCCAUGAUGGGCAAGAGUGCGGCUAAAAAUGUCAGUGCUACUUUGUUCUGUUUGUUCUACUACAGUCGAUGAUAUUUCUUGGAUAUGACUUUAAAUUGCUCGCUUGCACACUUAUAGGAUGCAUGCUUAUAUAGGUACAUGACUCUCCUAUUUUACAAUAUGAUCUCCAGUUAAGCUAUUGGUUCCAAACUUACCCACAAGGUACAUUGUUUAUGCGCACUUAUUGUCCAUAAAGAUACUUGAUCUAAUCUCUGAUAUAUUAAUCCUAUGCUAAUAUCUAAUUUAGAUUUGUGAAAUUGUUACAAUCGAUAUGGCUGUUUAGAGGGAACUAGGCCUCAUGGAUGUUUUAGAACUAUUAUGAAGAUAUGACAUUCAUUCCAUUAAGAUAAUCUUCUACUAUUGUUCCCAAUAAUGGUGUCUUAGAUACACCUUCAAAUUUAUUAGAUAAGCUUUUUGUUCUGUUGCAUUAUUUAGAUGAUAACAAUUGUUGGAUUUUUAUCUCUCUUUUUAAUUCUGGAUUUUGUAUAGAUUGGUAAUCUCUAUACCAUUAUACCUGCAGUUUUAUUCGUAUUUUUCCAAGAUUUAAUUACAAAAUUCCCUGUAUUUACAUUGAUAAAAGAGUGACAAAUAUGACAUCUUGU